UACGGGGGGGGCAAGCGUUGUUCGGAAUUACUGGGCGUAAAGGGCUCGUAGGCGGCCAACUAAGUCAGACGUGAAAUCCCUCGGCUUAACCGGGGAACUGCAUCUGAUACUGGAUGGCUUGAGUUCGGGAGAGGGAUGCGGAAUUCCAGGUGUAGCGGUGAAAUGCGUAGAUAUCGGGAGGAACACCAGAGGCGAAGGCGACUACCUGGCCUGUUCUUGACGCUGAGGCGCGAAAGCUAGGGGAGCAAACGGGG
rnacentral:rRNA from 1 species